rnacentral:rRNA from 1 species
AUGCACGCUGGCGGCGUGCCUAAUACAUGCCAGUCGCGCGAACAGACGAGGAGCUUGCUCCUCUGACGUUAGCGGCGGACGGGUGAGUAACACGUGGAUAACCUACCUAUAAGACUGGGAUAACUUCGGGAAACCGGAGCUAAUACCGGAUAAUAUAUUGAACCGCAUGGUUCAAUAGUGAAAGACGGUUUUGCUGUCACUUAUAGAUGGAUCCGCGCCGCAUUAGCUAGUUGGUAAGGUAACGGCUUACCAAGGCAACGAUGCGUAGCCGACCUGAGAGGGUGAUCGGCCACACUGGAACUGAGACACGGUCCAGACUCCUACGGGAGGCAGCAGUAGGGAAUCUUCCGCAAUGGGCGAAAGCCUGACGGAGCAACGCCGCGUGAGUGAUGAAGGUCUUCGGAUCGUAAAACUCUGUUAUUAGGGAAGAACAAAUGUGUAAGUAACUAUGCACGUCUUGACGGUACCUAAUCAGAAAGCCACGGCUAACUACGUG